rnacentral:rRNA from 2 species
GCUUAAUUAUCCUAGUCGAGCGGUAGCACAAGAGAGCUUGCUCUCUGGGUGACGAGCGGCGGACGGGUGAGUAAUGUCUGGGAAACUGCCUGAUGGAGGGGGAUAACUACUGGAAACGGUAGCUAAUACCGCAUAACGUCGCAAGACCAAAGAGGGGGACCUUCGGGCCUCUUGCCAUCAGAUGUGCCCAGAUGGGAUUAGCUAGUAGGUGGGGUAAUGGCUCACCUAGGCGACGAUCCCUAGCUGGUCUGAGAGGAUGACCAGCCACACUGGAACUGAGACACGGUCCAGACUCCUACGGGAGGCAGCAGUGGGGAAUAUUGCACAAUGGGCGCAAGCCUGAUGCAGCCAUGCCGCGUGUGUGAAGAAGGCCUUCGGGUUGUAAAGCACUUUCAGCGAGGAGGAAGGUGGUGAACUUAAUACGUUCAUCAAUUGACGUUACUCGCAGAAGAAGCACCGGCUAACUCCGUGCCAGCAGCCGCGGUAAUACGGAGGGUGCAAGCGUUAAUCGGAAUUACUGGGCGUAAAGCGCACGCAGGCGGUUUGUUAAGUCAGAUGUGAAAUCCCCGGGCUCAACCUGGGAACUGCAUUUGAAACUGGCAAGCUAGAGUCUCGUAAAAGGGGGUAGAAUUCCAGGUGUAGCGGUGAAAUGCGUAGAGAUCUGGAGGAAUACCGGUGGCGAAGGCGGCCCCCUGGACGAAGACUGACGCUCAGNUGGGAAAGCGUGGGGAGCAACCAGGAUUAGAUACCCUGGUAGUCCCCGCUGUAAACGAUGUCGAUUUGGAGGUUGUGCCCUUGAGGCGUGGCUUCCGGAGCUAACGCGUUAAAUCGACCGCCUGGGGAGUACGGCCGCAAGGUUAAAACUCAAAUGAAUUGACGGGGGCCCGCACAAGCGGUGGAGCAUGUGGUUUAAUUCGAUGCAACGCGAAGAACCUUACCUACUCUUGACAUCCAGAGAACUUUCCAGAGAUGGAUUGGUGCCUUCGGGAACUCUGAGACAGGUGCUGCAUGGCUGUCGUCAGCUCGUGUUGUGAAAUGUUGGGUUAAGUCCCGCAACGAGCGCAACCCUUAUCCUUUGUUGCCAGCGGUUCGGCCGGGAACUCAAAGGAGACUGCCAGUGAUAAACUGGAGGAAGGUGGGGAUGACGUCAAGUCAUCAUGGCCCUUACGAGUAGGGCUACACACGUGCUACAAUGGCAUAUACAAAGAGAAGCGACCUCGCGAGAGCAAGCGGACCUCAUAAAGUAUGUCGUAGUCCGGAUUGGAGUCUGCAACUCGACUCCAUGAAGUCGGAAUCGCUAGUAAUCGUAGAUCAGAAUGCUACGGUGAAUACGUUCCCGGGCCUUGUACACACCGCCCGUCACACCAUGGGAGUGGGUUGCAAAAGAAGUAGGUAGCUUAACC